GCUGGGCGUGUUGGCGCACACCUGUGAUCCCAGCGGCUGGGGAGGCUGAGGCAGAAGGAUCGCGAGUUCAAAGCCAGCCUCAGCAAAGCGAGGCCCUAAGCAACUCAGUGAGACCCUGUCUCCA
rnacentral:sRNA from 1 species